UACGAAGGGAGCGAGCGUUGUUCGGAAUCACUGGGCUUAAAGCGUGCGUAGGCGGAUUAGUAAGUAAGAAGUGAAAUCCCAGGGCUUAACCCUGGAACUGCUUUUUCGACUGCUUGUCUGGAAUUCGGUAGAGGUUGGUGGAACUCCUAGUGUAGAGGUGAAAUUCGCAGAUAUUAGGAAGAACACCGGUGGCGAAGGCGACCAACUGGACCGAUAUUGACGCUGAGGCACGAAAGCGUGGGUAGCAAACAGG
rnacentral:rRNA from 1 species